CCUACGGGUGGCAGCAGUGAGGAAUAUUGGUCAAUGGACGGAAGUCUGAACCAGCCAUGCCGCGUGCAGGAAGACGGCUCUAUGAGUUGUAAACUGCUUUUGUACAAGGGUAAACCUGAAUACGUGUAUUCUGCUGAAAGCACUGUACGAAUAAGGAUCGGCUAACUCCGUGCCAGCAGCCGCGGUAAUACGGAGGAUCCAGGCGUUAUCCGGAUUUAGUGGGUUUAAAGGGUGGGUAGGCGGCUUGAGAAGUUUGAGGUGAAAUGUCCGAGCUUAACUCGGGAACUGCCUAUAAUAAUGUUGAUCUAGAGAGUAGAUGAGGUAGGCGGAAUGUAUGGUGUAGCGGUGAAAUGCUUAGAGAUCAUACAGAACACCGAUGGCGAAGGCAGCUUACCAAUCUAUAUCUGACGUUGAGGCACGAAAGCGUGGGGAGCAAACAGGAUUAGAUACCCGUGUAGUC
rnacentral:rRNA from 1 species